UGUCGGAAAUGGAGGAAAUAAGCUAGCAGAAUGGUGUGGGUGUGACUUGAAGUCCGAGUUAAUACUCGCCUUCACGACUUCGUUGGUUCUUAAUGAUGUACAUAUUUCUACCAUACAACAAAAUAAUUUUAAAGAGAUGAACUCGUCGCGUCAGGAUAAACACGUCUCAUUGCGCUUUAAAGCUUCUCGUGCUAGCUUAGCUUGCUAGCUUUUGACAAAGAGACGCGGAAGUUAUCAAACACAUCACUAGGCAGAGAUCAAGCGUGAGUGUAAAGUGUUGUGAUUGUGAGAAAAUGUGCGAAAGAACGAUAGCAGAGUACGAGGAGGAACUUUCACCUACAAAAGAGAACGAGCGACAACAUCUACGACUGGACGCUGUUUUCAAGAAGCCUCAGGUUGUGUUACACAGAGCAGGUCUUGCGCCCCAGCAGCAGCAGUGGCGCUCCACAGAGGAGCAGGAGGAGCCACAGCCCCCCUCUAUUAAAGAAGAAGAGGAGGAUCACAGCAUCAGUCAGGAGGGAGAGCAUCUCGAGGGACUGGAGGAGUUUCCAGUGAUUGGUGCCCCUGCGAAGAGUGAAGAUGAUGAAGACAAAGGUCAAACGUCACAUUCUCCUGACACUGAUGAUGAAGACUUUAAAGCUGAUAUGAAAAGUCACACCGACCACAAACACUUGAAAUGCUCUCAGUGUGGCAAAACCUUUGGUACAAAGUCACAUCUGACUCGACACAUGAAGUAUCACACAGGCGAGAAACCGUUCAUAUGCUCAGUUUGCGGCCAAAGAUUCUAUGAACAGUCACAUUUGACAGGACACACAAGAAAACACACUGGAGAGAAACCCUUUUCCUGCCCAGUAUGCGGUAAACAUUUUGCUGUAAGAAGUAUUUUGGUAAUACACAAGAGAACACACACUGGUGAAAAACCUUAUCCCUGCUCAAUGUGUGGUAAAAGAUUCACCAUAAAGGAGCAUUUGAUAAGACACACAAGAACACACACAGGAGAAAAAGUCUUCUUUUGCUCAAUCUGCAGCAAAGGUUUUGGUGAUAAUUCAGCAUUUGUUCGACACAGAAGAAGACAUACUGGAGAGAAACCUUACACCUGUACUUUCUGUGGCGUGGGGUUUGCUGAAAAGUCAUCUUUGACGAAACAUACAAGAAUACACACUGGAGAGAAACCGUAUUCCUGUUCGGUGUGCAACAAAACCUUUCGUGAGAGUUCUGGAUUGGGUCAGCACAUGAAAAUACACACCAGGGAGAAACCUUUCAUUUGUGCAGUCUGUGGUACAAAGUUUGCACGAAAUCCAGACUUGACAAAACACAUGAGGAAACACACUGGGGAGAAACCUUUUACCUGCUUAGUCUGCGACAAACAUUUCUGUGAUCAUUCAGGGUUAGAACAGCACAUGAGAACGCACACUGGGGAGAAACCUUUCAGCUGUUCAGUUUGUGGUUUAAGUUUUACUCGAAAACCAGAUAUGAAAAGACACAUGAGAAGACACACUGGUGAGAAAGUUUUCAGUUGCAGUGUGUGUGAUGAAAGAUUCUCUUAUAAGUACCAGCUUAACAAUCACAAGUGUGCUGGUGAGAACAGCAGCAGUAAAUGAAACUGCAGGACUUUAAACUGUCAAGACUUUAACUUUCUAACAUCAUUGCUGUGUAUGUUUGUAACAUACUGCAGAUAUCACAAUAGUUUUAAUGUGGUAUAACCGUUUUUUAAUGCUGAAAAGUUGUUUUAUGUUCUCCCACACUUUUUAUCCCCCCAGUGUUUCCCAUACAUUCCCAAAUACCGUUGAUUUGGUGCUACCUGUUUGCCCUCACUCAUAAACACAUCAUAAGGCACUUGGUAAAAACAAAAUUGGUAAAUUCUGUGAAAAUGUUAACUUAAAGCUGAAAGACUACACUUCAGGUACAUCCACAUACUGUGGUGUAUAAAAGCAAAAUCCUAAAAACUAUUAUCACUGGCUUGUUACGUAAUAAUUGUAGGCCAAGGGUGUAAUGACACUUCCACACCUGAGGGCGGCAGUAGUGCGCUGGCAGUCGCUCUUCUGGCAGAAAUGAAAAUGGUUGCAAGCUAGCAGGACGGUGUGACCGCAUAGGCAGUAUUAUUGUAUUUUAUGGCGUUUGUUCCUUAGUCUGUGCGCAUUUAUUUAGCCUCCACAAAUAAAGAAAAAAGAAUAAGACCUCUAUAGACGCAACUGUCGAAUGCCAGAACAAAUCAUUCUCGCCUGAGUGCACUUUGAAGCUACUCAAGCUAACUUAGCUUGUUAACGGCUAACAAAGAGACGCGGAAGUGAUCAACACAUCGCUAAGCUGAGAACAAAUGUGAGUGUAAAGUGUGGUGAUUGUCUGAAAAUGUGUGACAGAACGAUGGCAGAGUACGAGGAGGAACUUUGUCCAGCGAAAGAGGAGAACGAGCGACAAUGUCAACUACUGGACGCUGUUUUCAAGCCAACAGUUGUCUUUAAAUCUGCAGACAUCAAAGAAGACCAUCUUCUCCUUGAGCAGCAGGACUGGAGAUCUA